rnacentral:tRNA from 1 species
GCCUUCGUGGUGUAACGGUAGCACACUCGGUUCGUAUUCGAGAGGUCCAGGCUAGAGUCCUGGCUAGAGCA